rnacentral:rRNA from 1 species
AUUUAAGCCAUGCGAGUCGAACGAGUUUAGGCUCGUGGCGUACGGCUCAGUAACACGUGGAUAACCUACCCUUAGGACCGGGAUAACCCUGGGAAACUGGGGAUAAUACUGGAUAGGCAAUUAUUCCUGUAAUGGUUUUUUGUUUAAAUGUUUUUUCGCCUAAGGAUGAGUCUGCGGCCGAUUAGGUAGUUGGUUAGGUAAUGGCUUACCAAGCCGUUGAUCGGUACGGGUUGUGAGAGCAAGAGCCCGGAGAUGGAACCUGAGACAAGGUUCCAGGCCCUACGGGGUGCAGCAGGCGCGAAACCUCCGCAAUGUGAGAAAUCGCGACGGGGGGAUCCCAAGCGCCAUUCUUAACGGGAUGGCUUUUCAUUAGUGUAAAGAGCUUUUGGAAUAAGAGCUGGGCAAGACCGGUGCCAGCCGCCGCGGUAACACCGGCAGCUCUAGUGGUAACAAUUUUUAUUGGGCCUAAAGCGUCCGUAGCCGGUUUAAUAAGUCUCUGGUGAAAUCCUGCAGCUUAACUGUGGGAAUUGCUGGAGAUACUAUUAGACUUGAGACCGGGAGAGGUUAGAGGUACUCCCAGGGUAGAGGUGAAAUUCUGUAAUCCUGGGAGGACCACCUGUGGCGAAGGCGGCUAACUGGAACGAACCUGACGGUGAGGGACGAAAGCUAGGGGCGCGAACCGGAUUAGAUACCCGGGUAGUCCUAGCCGUAAACGAUGCGGACUUGGUGUUGGGAUGGCUUUGAGCCGCUCCGGUGCCGAAAGGGAAGCUGUUAAGUCCGCCGCCUGGGAAGUACGGUCGCAAGACUGAAACUUAAAGGAAUUGGCGGGGGAGCACCACAACGCGUGGAGCCUGCGGUUUAAUUCGAUUCAACGCCGGACAUCUCACCAGGAGCGACAGCUGUAUGAUUACCAGGCUGAUGACCUUGUUUGACUAGCUGAGAGGAGGUGCAUGGCCAUC